CCUCUGGCGGCCGGUGGCGGAGGCGGUGGCGCUGCCGAGCAAGCCGGGCACUGGGCGCCGAGCGCCGGCCGCCUGCCCGCCCGCACCCCCUCCCCGGCCGGCUGGCUGCGCGCACGGCGAACAUGGCGGCGGCGGUGGGGCGGGACACUCUACCUGAGCACUGGUCCUACGGCGUCUGCGGCGACGGCCGCGUCUUCUUCAUCGACGACCUGACCCGCACCACCACUUGGCUGCACCCGCGCACCGGGGAGCCCGUCAACUCCGGCCACAUGAUCCGCUCAGAUCUGCCCCGAGGAUGGGAGGAGGGGUUCUCGGAGGAGGGAGCCAGCUACUUUAUCGACCAUAAUCAGCAGACCACGUCAUUUAGACAUCCUGUGACAGGACAGGUUUCUCCAGAAAAUAUUGAAUUUAUUUUGCGAGACGAGCAGAAUUCACCUAUGUCCAAGCAACAGAUAAACCAAAGACCUUCAAGUAUGGUCAGUGAAACAUCCACUGCAGUAACUACAUCUACUGUUGAUACAAAGCCUUCUUCUAAGGUUGUGAAGACUGGAAGCAAAGUUCAUAGCUUUGGAAAGAGGGAGCAAGCUAUCAGAAGGAAUCCUAAUGUUCCUGUUAUAGUAAGAGGCUGGUUACACAAACAGGAUAGCUCUGGAAUGAGAUUAUGGAAAAGACGAUGGUUUGUGCUUGCUGAUUAUUGUUUGUUUUACUACAAAGACAGCAGAGAAGAAUCUGUUUUGGGUAGCAUACCGUUGCCUAGUUACGUAAUAUCUCCUGUUGGACCUGAAGAUCGCAUAAAUCGCAAAUUUUCUUUUAAGGCUGUUCACACAGGGAUGAGGGCAUAUAUAUUUAAUAAGAAUUCUGUUAUUGGCUCUCAGGCAGAGCAUUCAGGGAUGCGGACGUACUAUUUCAGUGCAGAUACGCAAGAGGAUAUGAAUGGCUGGAUCCGGGCUAUGAAUCAAGCUGCCCUUAUGCAAACACGCUCUUCACUGAAAAGAGAAACUGAGAAAGUGGAUCAGCAAGCUGUUCCCCAAGCCAAUCAUGUGGAUGCCUAUAAGGAGCUUGUGAAGGCAGAGAUUACAGAUUUAAAAGAAAGUUAUCAAAAAUCAGCAGAAGCAUUUGGAUACGAUAAGCGUGAAGAGAUAAGAAGAGAAAAAGAGGAGGAGGAGCGUUAUAUCCACAGAAAAGAAACUCUGGAAGCUAAGAGGGGAAAGGCCAAGCAUGCAUUAACAGAAGCUGAUUCAUCAUUUCCAGAUUUAACGAGUGCAUCUCGGUCCCAAGUAGCUCAGCCUCAGCCAGUUGAGAAGAAUGGAACGCUUCCCAGCUCAUUAAAUAUGAGUGCUGGUCUAGCAGAGCAGAAUGGUACCAGCUCAUAUAAAAGAGGGUUUGUUCCCAGAACAAAUCCAGAUAAACAGAUUCAAAGAAAAAGUAACAUGGCUCAAGUGGAGCACUGGGUAAAAGUCCAAAAAGGAGAUACAAAGAGCCUCACUUCUGAUCAGACUCUUACACGUCAGGGUCCCAAUCCACCUCCGUCUCUUCCUGAAAACUAUCACACCUUGCCAAAGAAUACCAGGCAGCCUUCAGGGAGUUCAUCCCCGCCACCAAACCGCAAUUUGCCGAGUGACUACAAAUAUGCCCAAGACCGUGUUAGCCACUUGAGGAUGUCUCAGGAGGAAAGGAAAGCGAAUAAGGAUGGAACUGUUUGGCAGCUGUAUGAGUGGCAACAGAGACAGCAAUUUAAACAUGGCAGCCCCACUGCCCCGCUUUAUGUAGGCUUUUCAGACUUUAUCGAUCGUGGAAAGUCAAAAAGUUCAUUGGAUGUUCCACGAUCAAUAUCUGUUCCACCAUCUCCAUCUGAUAUUCCUCCGCCUGGACCUCCGAAAAGCUUUCCACCAAGGAGACCACACACUCCUGCAGAGAGGCUCACAGUUAAACCAUCUGACGAGAGACAAACUGUAGACGUUCCUUUUGCUGGAUCACCCAGGAAGAUUCGAAAUCAAGCUGUAAAGAGCUCAACCCACAUUGAUCGACACUCUAUGCCAGCCAUGGGCUACAUGACCCAUACUGUAAGCGCACCCAGUUUGCAUGGCAAGUCGGCCGAUGACACUUACAUCCAGUUGAAAAAGGAUUUGGAGUAUCUGGAUCUCAAGGUGACGGGGCGUGACACGUUAAAAGAACGAAGUACAAAACCUGUCAAGAUUGCAGAAAGUGAUAUUGAUGUCAAGCUAAGUGUUUUCUGUGAGCAGGACAGAAUUCUGCAGGACUUGGAAGACAAAAUAAGAGCCCUGAAGGAAAACAAAGAUCAGCUGGAGUCUGUUUUGGAGGUUUUACACAGGCAGAUGGAACAGUACAAAGACCAACCACAACAUGCAGAAAAGAUUUCUUACCAGCAGAGACUAUUGCAAGAGGAUCUCAUACAUAUUCGGGCUGAAAUAUCGAAAGUUUCAACUGAAAUGGAAAAUGCCUGGAAUGAAUAUCUGAAAUUAGAAAAAGAUGUGAAUCAGCUGAAGCGAGCCUUACAGGAACAGAUGAACAGUUCACUUGUAUCUCAGGAGAAAACACAAAUACAAAAGGACUUAUGGAGAAUUGAAGAUGUUACAGCUGGCUUGAGUGCAAAUAAAACUAAUUACAGAACCAUAGUAGAAUCAAUCAAGAAUCCAGAGAGAAAAAUAGUGCCUUCAUUUUCUCAGUCUACAGUGCCUUCCUUACCAACUUCUCUGAAAACUGUGGAGAACAAGCUUUCCAUUCCUCAAAAUCCUCCGUCUAGUCCCCUUAAAUCCCCUUUGGAAGUUAGGCUAUAUCCACAGCCUUAUUUCCAGGCUAGAAUGCAGCACCAAACACAGCAGCUGAAAAAAAUCGAGCCCCCUCUUCAGUCGCCAGUUAAGCUAACGCCAAAGGUUGAAGAUGAAGCACCGCCCAGACCUCCUCUCCCUCAGUUGUAUAGUCCUGAUGAUCAGCCACCAGCUGUUCCACCUCUUCCGAGAGAAGCCACUGUCAUCAGACAUACGUCGGUGCGGGGCCUGAAACGUCAGUCGGAUGAAAGAAAGAGAGACAGAGAGCUAGGACAGUAUGUAAAUGGAGAUUAUAGGGUAGAACUGCGUUCAUACAUGAGUGAACCAGAACUUGCAACAAUAGGUGGUGACCUCAGCCAACCUUCCAGUGGUUUAAUAACCUCUGACAGUGGAUACCAGACAUUACCCACCCGUGGUUUGUCUGGAUCAACUUCCAGAUUGCACCAAUCAUCUAACAUUUCAUCGUAUGCAACACUUCGAAGGGAUAGGUCCAAGGAGAGACCAAAGAGUGCCUUGGAACGUUUAUACUCUGGAGACCACCAAAGAGGCAAGAUGAGUGCAGAGGAACAACUAGAAAGAAUGAAGCGACAUCAGAAAGCAUUAGUUCGUGAACGCAAGAGAACUCUUAGCCAAGGAGAAAGGCAGACUGUUUCAUCUCGGUCUUUCAUCAGGCCCAUUUCUGCAGACCUAGGCUCAUGGAAACGAGAGCAAGAAUUUGAUUUGCAGUUACUUGAGAGGGUAAUUCGUGGAGAAGACAAGGAUGAAAACAACUGGUUAAAAGUUCAGCCAGUGGCAGUAACAGAAACAGACCUGGAGCCUCAAGAUUAUGAUUUAGAUAUCAGCAGAGAGUUGUCAAAACCUGAGAAGGUUUCAAUUCCAGAGCGCUAUGUUGAGCUGGAGCCAGAAGAGCCUCUUUCUACAGAAGAGCUGGCAGCAAGGCAGCGUAAAGCAGAAAAGAUAAAGAAUAUUCUUACUAAAUCAAGUAUGCACAAUCUGCAGCCUACUAUUGCCCAGGACAAACACAGCUCGGUUGAUUUAGAUUCACAGUUGCAAGAGCAGGAACGCAUCAUUACCAUAUCAUACGCUUUGGCUUCUGAAGCCUCUCAGAGGAGCAAGGAGGUAGCAGCUCAGCAGUUGACCUAUCCAUCUAAAGCACCCUCACCUUCUGUACCACAACCACCUCACUCUCCCUUAAGCAAUGGAUUUCACUACACAUUUGUCUAAACACCUUAAAAGUAAGAACUAACUGCUCUUGGCAUGUUUGAUUUGCCAUUGUGUCUUUGCUAUGACUUGCUGAAUUUUAACACUUUUUAGUAGCCCUAGAUUAGAUUCAAAUGUAUGCAUGCCUGUGUUUUUCAGAAACCAGAAAAUUUUAUUCUCAUGUAGCAAGUAUUGCUUCUAAUGAGCUAACACAUGAGCUAAUAAAGUCUUCAAAUAACUGCUGUGGCUUUACAGAUAAGAUACUACCAUAAUCUUAAUGUGGGGAAGGAAGGAAGACAUCUCUACUAGUGGUAGCUUGGGGCCAAAUUUUCAGCAGUGGUUUUCGCUUCCAUUGUUAGAGUUGGGCACUGCUGUGGCUGUAGUAAGGGCGCCUAGGUGUUUUUGCCUGUGCAUGGUGUGUACCUUUGCUGCACAGGAGCAUCUGAAAUGUAAGCAAAGUCAUUGCAAGCAGAGGGGGUUUCUUUUAGGGGCUGAUACCUUACGCUUGAACUAAGGCUGGAGACUUGUUUGAGCCAAAGCAGUAUCUGAGCAUUGACAUAAGACUCAAAGCAAAACUCACCGAGUGACGCUGCAUGGAAGAAAAAAAAGUUCAUUACCAGCUUUCUGUGAAGAGAUACUCACCAGCUGACCACAUGUUCUUUUGAAAAUAUAUUCUGAGAAUAAUAGGGGGAUUUUCUAUGAAAACUAAGCAAAUUGCAAAUCAUUUUAUUUUGACUUCAGUUUAGUUCAGACUUUUUAUAUGAAUAAAUGGCACUUUUAACAAACUCUGUAAGAUACUGACAAUGUAUUUUUAGAACAGAAUAUAUUUUAGAAUUUUUUUAAUCAAGGACUGAAUUUGUUUUGAGAGAAACUACUUACAUAAAUGUUACAAGAUGCUGUUACUUCCCCCUCAGGCUUAGAUGCACAAUGUAAAGUUUCAUGAAGAAAUGUAAAUUGAACAAUCCUAGAAGCACAUUCAUAGCAUAUGGGUAAAGCUAACUCAUUUGAGAGGUUUACUGAAAGUGUGUUUUGGAAUGGAUGUUUUCUAGAGUUAAUCACUCACUCUUUUGCCCGUUAAGCAAUACAUUGCAAGGAACUGCUAGCUUAGGUUUCUAAAUGUCACUAACCACUGUGUAGCUGAAAUUGUCUACAAAACGCAUGAUGAUACCCAGUUUUAACUCCAGUUUCCUUUUUGAUCCCGUACGAUUAACUUGCCAUUAUCAACAUACAGUAUUUUACGUUGCUCUUGACAGUAAUGCUGUCCCCUCGGUAACAAACAGCUAACAAGUUAUAUUUUUUCAUAAGUUGAGAUGUGGAAGAAAAGGAAAAUUUUAAUUAAAAGAUGUGAAGUAAGCAAUAAAAUUUAAUAGCAUAUGUCAUUUUUCUACUAAAUACAUAUUUUUCUUCUGAUUUUUUCAAUAAACAAUAAAAUAUGAUGUAUUAAUUAGUAUUUAUCCUGGAAACAGCAAAGCUAGUGUAAUGUGGCACCUGCUAAUUUUGUGUGUAGAUUCAGUGGUGCUCAACUUUGCCAAAUGUCCACAUUCAGUGUUUUACUUAUGUAUAGGGCAAAGAGUGAGGUGGUUACAUAGGGAGAAAAUGAGAUUAAAUGAAUUGCUGUGAUUCCUUUACUUGAAAAACUGUGUACACAUUGAAUGCAAGAAAUUGUCCAAUAUUGUGUAAUUAUUAGUUGAGAUCAGCUCUGAAUAUGAAUGACUGGGAAAUACUUCUGCAGUAUUUUGGGAAACCACUAACAUGUUUAUUUGCUGUAUUCAAGUAAUAGUUACAAAACCCUUGAAAUUGAUUGACUUUCAAGUUUCAGACUGUAAGACAAAUCAUAUUAUAUUAACACUAUACUCAGAAAUAUUCUUAAAAGUAUAUAUUUAGCUAAUGCAAUCUGUUUUACCUCAAUACUGCCAGUAUCGACUUGGAAACAUUUUGCCAAAAUAAUGAUUUAUUUUUGCCUUUAUAAAAAAUUUUGAAAAAUAUUUUGCAGGAAAACGUUAAUUUAAAUAAAAUGUAACAGUUUGGAAAAUGGUAUAUGUACAGAUUAAAAUAUUAACAUAACUGCC